ACCACUGUCCACAAGGGAGCAAGGAGCUAAGCCUGCCAGCAUCCUGUGCCAGGCUGUGAUGACUUCGCCGGGUAUUCCAAAUGGAGUGGGAUUUUGUUUCCAGUUAGGGGAAUGAUGCCGCGUCUACUGCAUUGAGAUGGUAUACAGCUCUGUAUGUCAUCGUGUGUCAUCUCCUUUUCCCUGGGGGAAGCCUGUUUGGUGAGCCCAUCAAAUCAGAAUAUAGAUGCCUUAUGGAUCACUGGAAUACUUCUGUCACAUGCGGGCAAAGGACGCUAGGUCCCACUUUCUGCUCAGCUUGAGGAGUAAACAAAACACACACAGUUGCCAUAGACUGGGGAUCUCCACCACCAUAUUUAACAUUAGCUUUUUACUUCUAACCCACUGAAAGAGCUAAGGAUCAAAUAUGAUGCUUUUUCCCCCUUUUCUUCCUCUGUCAAUGGUAAAAGUGCAUAUUCUGGCUGUAUACUUUUAGAAGUCAGUAAAUGUCAAUAUUAGUUAAGUGUUUCCUUUAUAUCACUGCAAUUUAGCAUAAGCUGCUUGGAAACAAAUGUGUUCCGUAAGCAUACAGUGUUUCCGUGAGUACACAGUCAAUACCACUAUGAGGAUUAAAUAAAUGUCAGCUUUCCCUGGGCACACUGGUAACGAGUUAAAACCAUGGAAAUAGUGGCCAGCAGGAGCGACUGCUGCUCCUUACAGAAGUCUUGUGUUGCAGCUUGGCUGGGACAUGGAGUCUGGGAGAUGGACAUUCAUCCAUCUCUUGGCUGGAUA
rnacentral:lncRNA from 1 species